GGAGCCCACCACAAAUAAUUUCUUAUUUCUGUUCACAUAGAUUUUAAAUUAUGUAGCUCCCCUACCUUGUUAAGUAUUAAAGCAGUCUUGUUUAAGGAAAAGGCAUUCCAAUAAUGAAGCUUAUGUAGCUUGUUUCCAGACAUCAAUAUCUGGCUUUGAGUGGCACAAAGAGAUAAAGGAAUGUGGAUUCACAGCUCCCUAGGAUGUUUGGCAAUUCUAAUUCAACCCGGCUGCAAAUGGACACAAGACUGUUGUGACUUCUCCUGAAGAGAAAGAAGGCUGGGUGAGCACGUGGUUUGGGGAAAUUGUAUUCUCUUCUUCGAAUUCUUCUGUUUCCGAACAUUUAAUCCUACUGUUCUCCUCUCCGAUGAAGGUCUCUUUGGUAAAGAAUCUCUUUCCUGAAAUGGCUGAGAGUGACUGAAGCUGGAUUCAGAAGCUCACAGAGCUGGGGAAUGAGAGCUGCAGCAAGACUCGUGAAGGGAAAGGCUGCCAUCUUGUGGUCAGAUUGGUGCUCUGCAUUCCUGCAAACAGUCUCUGCAGAAGCCCAGGAGCCUGGUGGGAAGGAGGCUGCAAGCUGGAUUUCUGCAGGACAGUGUGAAUGCCUGUAGGAAUCACCCACACAGUGGCCAAGUGCCCUCCAAGAAUGCGGCUGCCACGUUUUAAGGAAACCCAGGCUGUCCUGACAUGUAAGCCAUGUUUAUUGGCCUUGGAGAGUGCAGCAGCAUGUGGAGAGCCCACAGAGUGGAAGCAGGGGACAACUUUACUAAGCACCUGAGUGGCCACAGCAGGGGAUGGAUGUCCACCAUGAUGCCACGUACAUGCUACAAGCCAGAGGAAGCAGGUCCAGCUGAAGAGAAGAACAAUGUGCUAAGAAUGGAUGGACAGACCCAGACAAUCUCUUGUGUGGUGGCCAGAAGGGUUUGUGGAGGCUUGCAGGACGUGAGAGAUGUGACUGAAAACUGGGUUUCUGGAAGGCUGGACUGCUCAGGAACGCUGUGGCGAAGGAAUCAAAGUCCGGAAGGAAUUCAGAGAAAGGAGUUGUCUGGAAUGCUCUGUUCCAGAUACCUGUCCUGGACUACCUCCCAGUUCUUUAGAACAUUAUAGAUUAAUAUUUCUUUUUAUUACAAUCGCAUUCACUUAUUUUUGUCUGUGUGUAUGAGUGUGUGCGCACAUGUGGAGGUCAGAGGACAACUUGCAGGAGUCAGUUGUGUUCUCUAUCCACUUUGUCUGUCCCUAGGAUUAAAUUCUGGCCAUCAGCCUUGGCAGGAGUCACCCUUACACACUGAACCAUCUUGCCAGCCCAGAUUAAUGUCUCAGUUAGUAAAGGUGGCACCACGAAACAUUGCUGCCCCCUGCAAUAUUUUUUGGGGUUUUUUUUGUUUUGUUUUUUGUUUUUCGAGACAGGGUUUCUCUGUGUAGCUUUGCGCCUUUUCCUGGAACUCACUUGGUAGUCCAGGCUGGCCUCGAACUCACAGAGAUCCGCCUGGCUCUGCCUCCCGAGUGCUGGGAUUAAAGGCGUGCGCCACCACCGCCCGGCGCGCCCCCUGCAAUAUUAACAUUAAUGUUUAGUACCUGAACACAUUUUACCUGGCAGAUUCUCCUGUGUUCUACAAAUGUUUGGUGUGAUUUGUUUGGAGAGACAAUGAAGAACAUCGCUCAGUUGAAAGGACCUCAAGUGUCCCGGAUUUAAGGAGAUUUAAUUAUUUUUUGGAUUUAAUUUCUUUUUAAAGAAUAACGCAUUUAAAAUAUUUUUGAUGCUAUGCCAUACCAGAAAUACAUUUUCAAUGUGAGCCAGUAUGCACAUUAUUGUAUAUAAUUUGCAGUUAAAAUAUUUCAUAAAAUGGUUUACUUUUUAUUGUAUUCUACUUUGUUUAAACAAUGCUGAUA